CUUCCAGUAGCACCUUAGGGACCAACUAAGUUUGUUAUUGGUAUGAGUUUUUGUGUGCAUGCACACUUCUUCAGAUGGUAUACCAAUAACAAACUUAGUUGGUCCCUAAAGUGCUACUGGAAG